CUUGAUGUGACGAAUUUAGAUGAUUAUGUUUGUAUCAUGCGCAUAGUUCAUUAUUUUUUCGGUAUAUAUUGUUGCUUGCUGUGCAAGUGAAACUCUAUAGUCCAUGAGUAGAUUUACGACAUGUUUUUCGGCAGUACCUGCGCGUCCUCCGUUUAAGCCCAGGGCCACGUUCGUCUAGAGGGUCUGUCAUUGUCUUACGUAACGGCAAGGACAGACACUCAGUCGCGUGCGACCCUAGACUGACCCCGAGCGGAGGCCCGAAUUUGUCCUCAGUUUUAGGACAGACUCUGCCCUUUAACUCGAAGUCGGACUGUUUUCUUGCUGGAAGGUUGUCUGGCUAGAAAACAGUAUAAAUAUAGCUUCCUAUAUAAGACAGGGAUCGAGAUCUAAAAUCGAGAGACAUUUCCUCAAGACCGUCUUGAGACUUCUCCUCGAAACUCUUUUCUGCCGCUUUCCAAAUCUGCAAGCGUUCUGAUAAUACACUGUACAUGGCUGUAUUUAGUACCAGUUUAGAGAGCACGAUUUUUACCGAGUUGUCAUUAUUUAAAGUAAUAAACGACGAAUAGAACUGAAAUUGA